AGCGAACGCUGGCGGCAGGCCUAACACAUGCAAGUCGAACGGACCCUUCGGGGUUAGUGGCGGACGGGUGAGUAACACGUGGGAACGUGCCUUUAGGUUCGGAAUAGCUCCUGGAAACGGGUGGUAAUGCCGAAUGUGCCCUUCGGGGGAAAGAUUUAUCGCCUUUAGAGCGGCCCGCGUCUGACUAGCUUGUUGGUGGGGUAAUGGCCCACCAAGGCUACGAUCGGUAGCUGGUCUGAGAGGAUGACCAGCCACAUUGGGACUGAGACACGGCCCAAACUCCUACGGGAGGCAGCAGUGGGGAAUCUUGCGCAAUGGGCGAAAGCCUGACGCAGCCAUGCCGCGUGUAUGAUGAAGGUCUUAGGAUUGUAAAAUACUUUCACCGGUGAAGAUAAUGACUGUAGCCGGAGAAGAAGCCCCGGCUAACUUCGUGCCAGCAGCCGCGGUAAUACGAAGGGGGCUAGCGUUGCUCGGAAUUACUGGGCGUAAAGGGAGCGUAGGCGGACAUUUAAGUCAGG
rnacentral:rRNA from 1 species